rnacentral:rRNA from 1 species
GGGUUGUGAGGUUAAGCGACUAAGCGUACACGGUGGAUGCCCUGGCAGUCAGAGGCGAUGAAGGACGUGCUAAUCUGCGAUAAGCGUCGGUAAGGUGAUAUGAACCGUUAUAACCGGCGAUUUCCGAAUGGGGAAACCCAGUGUGUUUCGACACACUAUCAUUAACUGAAUCCAUAGGUUAAUGAGGCGAACCGGGGGAACUGAAACAUCUAAGUACCCCGAGGAAAAGAAAUCAACCGAGAUUCCCCCAGUAGCGGCGAGCGAACGGGGAGCAGCCCAGAGCCUGAAUCAGUGUGUGUGUUAGUGGAAGCGUCUGGAAAGGCGCGCGAUACAGGGUGACAGCCCCGUACACAAAAAUGCACAUGCUGUGAGCUCGAUGAGUAGGGCGGGACACGUGGUAUCCUGUCUGAAUAUGGGGGGGACCAUCCUCCAAGGCUAAAUACUCCUGACUGACCGAUAGUGAACCAGUACCGUGAGGGAAAGGCGAAAAGAACCCCGGCGAGGGGAGUGAAAAAGAACCUGAAACCGUGUACGUACAAGCAGUGGGAGCACGCUUAGGCGUGUGACUGCGUACCUUUUGUAUAAUGGGUCAGCGACUUAUAUUCUGUAGCAAGGUUAACCGAAUAGGGGAGCCGAAGGGAAACCGAGUCUUAACUGGGCGUUAAGUUGCAGGGUAUAGACCCGAAACCCGGUGAUCUAGCCAUGGGCAGGUUGAAGGUUGGGUAACACUAACUGGAGGACCGAACCGACUAAUGUUGAAAAAUUAGCGGAUGACUUGUGGCUGGGGGUGAAAGGCCAAUCAAACCGGGAGAUAGCUGGUUCUCCCCGAAAGCUAUUUAGGUAGCGCCUCGUGAAUUCAUCUCCGGGGGGUAGAGCACUGUUUCGGCAAGGGGGUCAUCCCGACUUACCAACCCGAUGCAAACUGCGAAUACCGGAGAAUGUUAUCACGGGAGACACACGGCGGGUGCUAACGUCCGUCGUGAAGAGGGAAACAACCCAGACCGCCAGCUAAGGUCCCAAAGUCAUGGUUAAGUGGGAAACGAUGUGGGAAGGCCCAGACAGCCAGGAUGUUGGCUUAGAAGCAGCCAUCAUUUAAAGAAAGCGUAAUAGCUCACUGGUCGAGUCGGCCUGCGCGGAAGAUGUAACGGGGCUAAACCAUGCACCGAAGCUGCGGCAGCGACGCUUAUGCGUUGUUGGGUAGGGGAGCGUUCUGUAAGCCUGUGAAGGUGUACUGUGAGGUAUGCUGGAGGUAUCAGAAGUGCGAAUGCUGACAUAAGUAACGAUAAAGCGGGUGAAAAGCCCGCUCGCCGGAAGACCAAGGGUUCCUGUCCAACGUUAAUCGGGGCAGGGUGAGUCGACCCCUAAGGCGAGGCCGAAAGGCGUAGUCGAUGGGAAACAGGUUAAUAUUCCUGUACUUGGUGUUACUGCGAAGGGGGACGGAGAAGGCUAUGUUGGCCGGGCGACGGUUGUCCCGGUUUAAGCGUGUAGGCUGGUUUUCCGGCAAAUCCGGAAAAUCAAGGCUGAGGCGUGAUGACGAGGCACUACGGUGCUGAAGCAACAAAUGCCCUGCUUCCGUGAAAAGCCUCUAAGCAUCAGGUAACAUCAAAUCGUACCCCAAACCGACACAGGUGGUCAGGUAGAGAAUACCAAGGCGCUUGAGAGAACUCGGGUGAAGGAACUAGGCAAAAUGGUGCCGUAACUUCGGGAGAAGGCACGCUGAUAUGUAGGUGAAGUCCCUCGCGGAUGGAGCUGAAAUCAGUCGAAGAUACCAGCUGGCUGCAACUGUUUAUUAAAAACACAGCACUGUGCAAACACGAAAGUGGACGUAUACGGUGUGACGCCUGCCCGGUGCCGGAAGGUUAAUUGAUGGGGUCAGCGCAAGCGAAGCUCUUGAUCGAAGCCCCGGUAAACGGCGGCCGUAACUAUAACGGUCCUAAGGUAGCGAAAUUCCUUGUCGGGUAAGUUCCGACCUGCACGAAUGGCGUAAUGAUGGCCAGCUGUCUCCACCCGAGACUCAGUGAAAUUGAACUCGCUGUGAAGAUGCAGUGUACCCGCGGCAAGACGGAAAGACCCCGUGAACCUUUACUAUAGCUUGACACUGAACAUUGAGCCUUGAUGUGUAGGAUAGGUGGGAGGCUUUGAAGUGUGGACGCCAGUCUGCAUGGAGCCGACCUUGAAAUACCACCCUUUAAUGUUUGAUGUUCUAACGUUGACCCGUGAUCCGGGUUGCGGACAGUGUCUGGUGGGUAGUUUGACUGGGGCGGUCUCCUCCUAAAGAGUAACGGAGGAGCACGAAGGUUGGCUAAUCCCGGUCGGACAUCAGGAGGUUAGUGCAAUGGCAUAAGCCAGCUUGACUGCGAGCGUGACGGCGCGAGCAGGUGCGAAAGCAGGUCAUAGUGAUCCGGUGGUUCUGAAUGGAAGGGCCAUCGCUCAACGGAUAAAAGGUACUCCGGGGAUAACAGGCUGAUACCGCCCAAGAGUUCAUAUCGACGGCGGUGUUUGGCACCUCGAUGUCGGCUCAUCACAUCCUGGGGCUGAAGUAGGUCCCAAGGGUAUGGCUGUUCGCCAUUUAAAGUGGUACGCGAGCUGGGUUUAGAACGUCGUGAGACAGUUCGGUCCCUAUCUGCCGUGGGCGCUGGAGAACUGAGGGGGGGCUGCUCCUAGUACGAGAGGACCGGAGUGGACGCAUCACUGGUGUUCGGGUUGUCAUGCCAAUGGCACUGCCCGGUAGCUAAAUGCGGAAGAGAUAAGUGCUGAAAGCAUCUAAGCACGAAACUUGCCCCGAGAUGAGUUCUCCCUGACCCUUUAAGGGUCCUGAAGGAACGUUGAAGACGACGACGUUGAUAGGCCGGGUGUGUAAGCGCAGCGAUGCGUUGAGCUAACCGGUACUAAUGAACCGUGAGGCUUAACCUUACAACGCCGAAGGUGUUU